GACGAACGCUGGCGGCGUGCCUAAUACAUGCAAGUUGAGCGAUGAAGAUUGGUGCUUGCACCAAUUUGAAGAGCAGCGAACGGGUGAGUAACGCGUGGGGAAUCUGCCUUUGAGCGGGGGACAACAUUUGGAAACGAAUGCUAAUACCGCAUAACAACUUUAAACAUAAGUUUUAAGUUUGAAAGAUGCAAUUGCAUCACUCAAAGAUGAUCCCGCGUUGUAUUAGCUAGUUGGUGAGGUAAAGGCUCACCAAGGCGAUGAUACAUAGCCGACCUGAGAGGGUGGUCGGCCCCAUUGGGACUGGGACCCGGCCCAAACUCCUUCGGGGAGCAGCAGUAGGGAAUCUUCGGCCAUGGGCGGAAGUCUGGCCGAGCAACGCCGCGGGAGUGGAGAAGGUUUUCGGAUCGUAAAACUCUGUUGGUAGGGAAGAACGUUGGUGAGAGUGGAAAGCUCAUCAAGUGACGGUAACUACCCAGAAAGGGACGGCUAACUACGUG
rnacentral:rRNA from 1 species